GGUUAGUUUAGUACUAGGUACGAGCAUUUUGUUCUCCCUAUGGAUUCUUCGGAACCAUCUGCAAAUCAAUUGCCUAGUUUUUGUAACAUUGAAAGCGUUCACGAAAGCACAAGUGAAUCAUAUAAUGGGUUCAUUCGUCAACAAAAAUGUCAAAGACAGACAGACAGACAGGAGGAAUCAAAGCCAAACUGUGCGCAUUUACCGUCCCGGAAGAGAGAAUCUACUGGCAUGAAGGCAUACAAAGAUGCAAAAACAUAAAUGUUCAGCCUCAUAAUUUGGUCGAUUGUGUUGCGGUUCCUAACACAAUAAAUUCUGAAAUUUAAAUUAUUGAAAAAGAGGCUGCAGUGUUUAAUGGAACAAAUAAACGAUCUCAAGUUUCUUGUCGCGAAUACUAUUCAGACAAGUUACAAAUUAGGCAUUAUGGUAAGUUUGUAUUACUUCACAUCGUAGACUUUUUCAACAGUAUGUUGUAGAUAUGUACGUUAAGAUUGAAACUGCCAGGUUAGAUUAUUUUCAAAAGAAUCAGAAACAAAUUCGUGCUGAACUCUAUCAAGGUAUUGUGGAUAGUGUUCAAAAUGGAGAA